rnacentral:lncRNA from 1 species
GGGUUGGAGGCAGGAGGGAGGGAGGGAAGGAGGGAAGGAAGGAAGCUGGGAACGAGCGAGCGAGCGGGGGCGCGAGGCGUUUACCUGGAGGCAGCGGCUUGGGCGCGCAGAGCGGCCGCGGCUCCCCCGCACCUGCGGCCAUGGAUGAGGAGCGCGCCCUCUACAUCGUCCGGGCCGGCGAAGCGGGGGCUAUCGAGCGGGUCCUGAGGGAUUACAGCGAUAAGGUAAAGAGCCCUGGCCCUGGGCGUGCGGUAGAGCACCCCCGGGCCGCCCUCGGGGCUUGCACAUCGCAUCCCUCCCAGCCCCCUUCAUUCCGGGGAUGCGCGUUGCUCUCCCCCCGAAAACGUUUCCGGCUUGGGCAUGCGUGUUUGUGCCCCCAGCCUUUCGCGUCCGUGCAUCCUGCAUCCCCCUGCCCCCACUCUGGCGCCCACUCCUCUGAUUCCGGCCCAGCAGCCUGUCCUGCGGUCCUCCUCCCAAGCGUGCAAGUCACACCCCCGGAAUCCGUAGAUGUGCGUCUGUGCCCUGUGCCCCACUCGGGGAUGCAUACAUGCACGCGAGGCUUCCUCACCUGUAGAGCAUGAAAAUCCGUGUUUCCGUGCUUAAACACGGCCCUUGACGUGCAUAAGACCUAUCAGCCACGAUGGCAGUUCUUUGUAUACCUACAGCACUAUACAAUUUCCAAGGCUUGAUGUCUCAUGUAUGGUCUAACUUGAUUCUCAGAGUGUUUAUAGGGUAGAUGGUGUCUUCCUCCCCAUUUUAUAGAUGAGAAAACCGAGGCGCUAAGAACUGAAAUCACGCCAAGGUCAUGGACAUACUGUGUUGUAAGUGGGGGGGAGAUUCUGACUCCUAAUAAUACCUAUUAUUUGUAUCGCAUUAACAGCUUUCCCUCCAUUAUCUCAUUUAAUCUGGACAGCAGCCCUGCGAGGUUUUAUCUUCGUUUUGCAAUUGAGAUUCUAUAUCAGUUAAGUAACUUGCCCAAGGUCAUACUUGUGAGCUGGGAUUCCAACCUAGGUCUUCAAACCAUUCAUUGUUCUUUCCACUUUACAACUCUCCAGUAAAAAGAUAUCUUGUUAUAAAUCCCAGUCACUUCUCUGAAUGUUUCUCCAAGAACCGUUAGCUCUCCAUCACUUUUCCUUCCAGGGAUUUUACAUGCUUACUUCAAAAGGUAGCAUAUCACAACUUUAUUCUUCCAUUUAGAAGACUACUUAAUAGGAAUGACUGACUGACGACUCACUUCGGUGAAAAUACACUCAACACCAAGUCUCAGCCUAGAUAAAGCAUCUUUCUUCCUUUCACUUGCUUCCACUCAUAGCUUCCCCUUCUGGGUUUGCUAUGUGUUCAGCACUGCACUGUAUUAUACUUUGUAUGAUUGAGCUGCCAGUGUGCCAUUUCUGCCCUGGGGGGGGAGAAGAUCCAAAAAUAAGACAGCUUGAUUUCCAUUUAAUCUUCCCAAUAACCCUGUGAGGAAAGUGGUGGUAUUCCCCAUUUCAUGAACAAUGUUUAGGAUAAUGUUGGCCCAAGUCCACACAUUCAUUGAGAGAUGGGGCUGAGAUUUGAAUCUAGGUUGUCUGACUGCACUAUCUACAGUACUGUGCUGCUUUCUUUGGGAGGAUGUAUGGAUGGAUUCAAUUCUGUCUGUAUCUUAGCUCCUUCACUUUCUAAUAUGCUUUACUGUUGCAUGUCUGCCUAAUUUAGGAACAAUUCUUUUAAUGAAUACGUGUACAUAUUGUGAAGAUUAUAUUCAUUUAAUUUGAUUUAUAACUCCUUUCAAAAAAAAUGUGAGGCAACUACAAACUGAUUUUCAAAAGAAAGAGUGUUGAAUCAAUCAGUAUUUAUUUUUGCAAUUACUAUAUGCCAGAUAUCCAGCAAUAAAUAAGAACUUUCUUCUCUAGUAAAGGGAGGAGUUGAAAAACCUCCAACUGGAUCUUACCACUUUCUUUAAUAUUUCUCCUUCUUUUCAUGGCUAAACUGAUUAGAACUCCAGAGUUGCUCCCUUGAAUUUAUCUCUUCCUCUCCUUGAUCUCCCUCUAGGUUGGUUUCUACUGGCCAAGUGCUGUCAGAGCUUAGUUUCUGGGUAUCUCCAGCUCCCCUUUCACACUGGGAAUGUUUCUAAAGUUGUAAUGCCCAGUGUAUAUCAUUUAAGGUGGUAUUCCUGAAGUACUUUUGGGCUGCGCCUAAGAAUGCUCUGACUUGACAUGAACCAGGUCAGUCUGCUCCUUCAGAAAAGAGCUGUCAUGUUUCAUGCUGAUUAUAGUAGGGCUACCAUACAAAGAAAACAGCUGAGGUUCAUGUUGUCCGUGGGGCUUUGCCCCUCAAGGCAAGAGAGAUCUUGGAGACAGAUGAAUAGGAAGGAGAAGUGUGAUUGCAGUGAUCUGGCAAUAAAGAUGGGGAGGUGGAAUUAAAUUGCCUGGCUCUAUGGGAUAUGGAGUCUGAAACCCUGAAAAAGUAGCUGAAUACUGUGUACUUGAUUUUCCUUAUCUGGAAAAACAGAUUUGAAAAAUGUUUAGAAUAAGAGGUGAUUAUGGGGCAUUGAGACACUAUCUAACCAAGAACAGAAAUGAAUGAUGUACAAAAAAAGUGACUUGUUCAUUAUUUGGAGGACGAAUUUCUUUAUGCUACCUUUAUUUCUCUAGUAAAGCUAGAACUUGGGACAGUUCUAGAAAUACAGCAUACACAUUUGAGUAGAGUAUGUAAAUAUCCUGGACCAUGUAAGAGGGCUUUUUGCUUUCCACUUUGAGAUUGAAUUCUGACUCUUUGAAUUCAUUCCACAGAUUUUUGCAGAGGAGCAUGUUUAAUGGGCUAUUCCCUCUAAAUAGUGGAAAGAAGGUAGAAUUUAAAGUCAGGUAAAUCUUGGUUCAAAUCUGCCUUUUGGGCAGCCCCGGUGGCUCAGCGGUUUGGCGCCGCCUUCAGCCCAGGGUGUGAUCCUGGAGACCCAAGAUCAAGUCCCACAUCAGGCUCCCUGCAUGGAGCCUGCUUCUCUCUCUACCUGUCUCUCUCUCUCUCUCUCUCU